rnacentral:rRNA from 1 species
AUUGAACGCUGGCGGCAUGCUUUACACAUGCAAGUCGAACGGUAACAGGUUAAGCUGACGAGUGGCGAACGGGUGAGUAAUGCAUCGGAACGUGCCCGGUCGUGGGGGAUAACGCAGCGAAAGCUGCGCUAAUACCGCAUACGAUCUGAGGAUGAAAGCGGGGGACCGUAAGGCCUCGCGCGAGCGGAGCGGCCGAUGUCAGAUUAGGUAGUUGGUGGGGUAAAGGCCUACCAAGCCACCGAUCUGUAGCUGGUCUGAGAGGACGACCAGCCACACUGGGACUGGGACACGGCCCAGACUCCUACGGGAGGCAGCAGUGGGGAAUUUUGGACAAUGGGCGCAAGCCUGAUCCAGCAAUGCCGCGUGCAGGAAGAAGGCCUUCGGGUUGUAAACUGCUUUUGUACGGAGCGAAAAGGCUCUCUCUAAUACAGGGGGUUCAUGACGGUACCGUAAGAAUAAGCACCGGCUAACUACGUGCCAGCAGCCGCCGUAAAAC